CCAUAGAGGGGUUUGCUAACAGAUUUCUAAUCUGUAGGUCUUUGGUUCGAAUCCAAAUGG
rnacentral:tRNA from 1 species